rnacentral:ncRNA from 1 species
CUCUGCUCUUGCGUUAGGUAUUUGAUGGAUACGUCUGUCAUUUCAAAUCAAGGGAAUAAAGGAGUCUAAUUCCAUGCUGAAAAAGCAAAAAAAUAAAUGAAAAUGGAAGCUGAUAGUAGCUGUAUUGCGAACUCCGUUAAACAUUU